AUUGAACGCUGGCGGCAUGCUUUACACAUGCAAGUCGAGCGGCAGCGCGGGGGCAACCCUGGCGGCGAGCGGCGAACGGGUGAGUAAUCGAUAGGAACGUGUCCGGGAGUGGGGGAUAACUAGCCGAAAGGUUAGCUAAUACCGCAUAUUCUGUGCGCCAGGAAAGCGGGGGACCCGUGAGGGCAACUGAGGGGCCUCGCGCUCGCGGAGUGGCCUAUCUCCGAUUAGCUAGUUGGUGAGGUAAAGGCUUACCAAGGCGACGAUCGGUAGCUGGUCUGAGAGGAUGAUCAGCCACACUGGGACUGAGACACGGCCCAGACUCCUACGGAGGCAGCAGUGGGAAUUUUGGACAAUGGGGCAACCCUGAUCCA
rnacentral:rRNA from 1 species